ACCUCAUCCAGAGGGGCUGAGGGAAACGGCCCGAAGACGCCCCGGCAACCACCGCGAUGGACUCGAUGUCGAGGCCGCGCGCGGCAGGUGCCAAUUCCGUCCAGACCGGACACCCGGCUGGGAAGAUGAGAG
rnacentral:ncRNA from 2 species